rnacentral:misc_RNA from 1 species
GUCCCAAGUAGAUAUCCCAAUAGUAAAGGCUGACUUCCUUGAGGUCUCAAGUUUGGAUUCUGCCCUUGUUAGGGGAUUUAUGGAGAUGGAGAGAACCGGCUACCCCUCAUUAUGUACCUUCUUGAUCUUGAUCAAGCAAAGAGAGCAAAGCCAUCUCAACCUCAGCAAAUGGCUGACCAGCAUAAAGCUUAAGCUGCCCCUUCUUUACAACAAUUACCUUCUUGGAACGAGAUUUCACUGCAUCAUGAAGUUCUUUUAUUGACAGUGGAACAAUGUCAGCACUGAAGUUCCCUAAAUCUUGAAAGUAGGAUUCAAGUAGAUAGCAGAAGUUAUUGGCAUCACUGCGGUCCUCAAAAGCAACAGUGCAAGAGUCCUCUUGGUUAUCUGCCUGAGAAGGUGUUCUUAAUGCAUAAAGUCCAGCUGGUCCUUCUUG